GUGUGGAAGUCAUUCAUCUGAGUCUUUGUCGACGAAGAUUCUGCUUUAAGUUCACUGGGUAGCUAGGAUUUCACUUCUUCGUGGAUAUAGAUUUUUCUACGUCUGACCCAUGUAGACUUUCCCUGUGGUCUCCAAAAAUGAUUAUGAUUCAUAAGCUCAGAUAGUUCAGAUGUAGAUCUGCUACUGGCACAGAAACAUUUUUGCAACCUAUAUUGAAAUGUAGCAUUUAGAGAAAUACGAGCCCAACUAUUAGUAUUUGGUCAAGUUUGAUAUAUUAUAUGUAUGUGAUUUCAUCACAUCUAAUGAUCAACUCAGAGAUCACGUUUGGUUUUGUUUUUUUUUUUGAACAUCCACUGCACACUAAAAAGGUGUAUAUAUGUUGAGUGGAUUAUAUUAUAAAAUAUUUCUAUGGAGACUGAUUUUUUAUUUCUGUUGCUAUCACUGAAAAAUUAUUUAGCAUCUUUCACUGUUAUGUAACUGGAUAGGACUGGAACUCUCCUAGUUUAGAAGAUACCAGAAUACACAAGACUGGUUGACAAAGCACUGUGUAAAAGAAGCAGCAGCUGCUGAUUUUGAGAUGCUUUUUGUGAUCAUUGCAUACAUUUGGCUAGCUUCUGGAAAGCUGUUUUAAGGCUUACUGAGUUAGGAAUACUGUUUCUGACCACACAGCAGGAAAGAGCUAUGUGAUGGUCUGUACUAAAGGAAACAGGUGUUCUCCUAAAACAGUUUUUAAAACAAAUUAGAUAAUUUCCUCUGAGGGUUUAUUUCAUAUUCUAUCUAUCUAUCUAUACAUGAAGGCAGUUCCAAAAGUAUUGCCUCUUAUUUUAUUAUGUUGAUUCACAACAUCAGAGGUGGAUGUUGGUGGUAUGGCAAUAGAGGGUGAACCUUCCCCCAGUAUUCCAUUACGUUAUUGUGUGACAGAUGGAAGCAGAGGGGUAGUCUGACCAAGUGAUGUCUGACAUGGAAGUAUGGAUGAAGCAAAGGUGUGUAACUGAAUUCUUCUGUGAGGAAAAAAUGGCACCCAUUGACAUUCAUUGGCACUUGUUGAAAAUCUGUGGAGACCAAACCAUGAAUGAGAGCACAGUGAGGCGAGUCAUUUCAGAUGAAAGGAAGCUCAUCUUUUCAUAUUCAAAGAAAGAGUACCAAAAAUGUCAUACUUUGGAUACCAGAUCUAAAGAGCCAUUCAUUAUCCAGAUUUUCCUCUUUUCGGAAGCUGAGGAAGAAAUAACGUUGUUCUACCAGAUAGGAGAUAGUAGAUGUUUUCCUGAUUCUCUUUAGAUUUACUAUAUACUUUCAGGCAAUUUUCUUCAUUACUCCUGAAGGCAACCUAGAGUGCAUUUGUCUGCACUGCAUGCGUGACAGGAAAUCUCAUGUGACUAAAGCAUAAACUGGAAUCUUGUUUACUAAAUUAUGACUUUGCCACAUUUACUCAUGUUUUCUGUGCAAGCAGCUAGCCUGAUAUGAAGUACUAGUUCCCUUAACCAGAAAGAAUUUUUGACCUGAAGAAUUUAUUUCCACAUUUAAGUACAAAUAGCAGGGGUGCCUUUUGCACAUUCCUUCCAAAGUGUACUUGUGAGAGAAAAAUAUAACUGUGUUUGCUGCUGUAGAAAUUAGCCAUAGUUUUCUUAGCUGGUUAAAUUUCUGUAUAAAUACUUAAGUGGUUUCUGUGUUUGUUUUUGUUUUGCUUUUCUUUUUCCUAUGCAAACCAAGAAACAUCAUUAAGGAAUUAACUUAUUUUAGAUGUUGAAGAAAGAAAAUAAAGAUGUGAAUUACUUCUUAGUAGUCUAACAAAUCUGAAGUUAUUGAUGCUUUCUAUCAUGUUCUAAGAAAUACUAAUCCUGCUAUCUGCAUUCAUAGAAACCAGGAUGGCUGGGCAGAGGUGCAGCUAGAAGUACUGAUGUGUUCCACUCUCUGAAGGGGACCAGGUAGGAAGACAAAAAGAGUGCAGUGUGUCUCAAGAAAAGCUGAAGAAGAAAUUGUUCUUUAACAGCUGUUUUCAGGAUAAUAAGAAAAUGGCUCAAAGCACUGUGUCAGUUUAUUUAGAUGAUAGAUCUUGGGUCAAUAAAAAAGGCACAAAAUACUAGCACAGCCAAACUCUUUGCCUCAGAAGAAGUAGAGGUGUAUACAUUUAUUUUAAUAAAUUAUAGAACAGGUAUAACGUAACUUCUACAUUCUGUAUUGCAGUAUUAAUGAAAUCCUAGAUCACACUGAUGUGGGUGAACACAGGCCAAGUACUUAUCGUGCAGUUAUGCAGUGGAUUGUGGAAACAUAGUCCAAAAUGGCUAAUCAGAAAGUUGGAAGUUUAUCUUAUAGAAACUACUUAGCAAUGGUGUUAAUGUUUAAAAAUUAAAACUGGUAGCUCUGUAAUGAAUAUAAUUUCACCUUUUAAAAUCAGAUUUUUUUUUAAAAAGUAGAGUAGAUAAGUAAUGAGAACUUGUAAGAGAGAACUAAUCUUCCUAAAAUAAUUCUGAGAAAUAAAUUGCAUUAAAGACUUUGAGCUAAUUUCUUGCUCUGUGCCUGUAAUCACAGGAACAUUAUAAUAUUUCAUGUUUUACCCAAUACUAUUAUCAUUUGCUGAUUAUCUGGACAAAAAAAAAAGUCCUAAUUUAGAGAAGUACUUCAGUAUAGGCCUAAGAUUCUUCUACUUAAUAUGAAACCAGAAAAUUCAGAUGUUUAAGCCAUCAAGCAUGCCAUCUAAUAAUUAGAUUACAUGCCUCAGAAGUGUUGCUUUGUAGAUGCCUUUAAGUCUUUCUUUUAAACAAGGAUGGGAGAAAUGUUUGGCAUUAAAAUCUUUACAAAAUGCAGGCUUUCUAAAGA